GCGCACCAGUCGCGAAAACUUUACAAUGUGCGAAAGCACGAUAAGGGAACUCUGAGUGCCUCCUAAGGAGGCUGUUCAGGUGUCUAAAAAGCACCUGGAGUAAGGGCUGGGUAAGACCGGUGCCAGCCGCCGCGGUAACACCGGCAGCCCAGGUGGUAGCCACUUUUAUUGGGUACUAAAGCGUCCGUAGCCGGUUGAGUAAGUUCCUUGGGAAAUUUGGCUGCUCAACAGUCAAGCUUCCAGGGAAUACUGCUCGACUUGGGACUGGGAGAGGUCAGAGGUACUCCAGGGGUAGGGUGAAAUCCAUUAAUCCCUGGGGGACCACCGGUAGCGAAGGCGUCUGACCAGACCAGGUCCGACGGUGAGGGACGAAGGCUAGGGUCGCGAACCGGAUUA
rnacentral:rRNA from 1 species